rnacentral:snoRNA from 1 species
AACCAUAUGAUGCCAAACAAGUUAAUCCUGAGAUUUUCUCUGAGGACUUACAAAUUCGAGCUUUUUAAAACUGAUGGUUG